UACGUAGGGGGCAAGCGUUGUCCGGAAUCAUUGGGCGUAAAGAGCGUGUAGGCGGCCUGAUAAGUCGGCUGUGAAAGUCAAGGGCUCAACCCUUGAAUGCCGGCCGAUACUGUCAGGCUAGAAUCCGGAAGAGGCGAGUGGGAAUUCCUGGUGUAGCGGUGAAAUGACGCAGAUAUCAGGAGGAACACCUAUGGCGAAGGCAGCUCGCUGGGACGGUAUUGACGCUGAGACGCGAAAGCGUGGGGGAGCGAACAGG
rnacentral:rRNA from 1 species